rnacentral:rRNA from 2 species
UGAGACAGGUGCUGCAUGGCUGUCGUCAGCUCGUGUUGUGAAAUGUUGGGUUAAGUCCCGCAACGAGCGCAACCCUUAUCCUUUGUUGCCAGCGGUUCGGCCGGGAACUCAAAGGAGACUGCCAGUGAUAAACUGGAGGAAGGUGGGGAUGACGUCAAGUCAUCAUGGCCCUUACGAGUAGGGCUACACACGUGCUACAAUGGCAUAUACAAAGAGAAGCGACCUCGCGAGAGCAAGCGGACCUCAUAAAGUAUGUCGUAGUCCGGAUUGGAGUCUGCAACUCGACUCCAUGAAGUCGGAAUCGCUAGUAAUCGUGGAUCAGAAUGCCACGGUGAAUACGUUCCCGGGCCUUGUACACACCGCCCGUCACACCAUGGGAGUGGGUUGCAAAAGAAGUAGGUAGCUUAACCUUCGGGAGGGCGCUUACCACUUUGUGAUUCAUGACUGGGGUGAAGUCGUAACAAGGUAACCGUAGGGGAACCUGCGGUUGGAUCACCUCCUUACCUUAAAGAA